rnacentral:lncRNA from 1 species
CCCGGGCGAGGGAGGGGAACGGGCCGCAGGUUCAGUCCUAGCUGUGGUGUGGGUCUGGAAGAAUGCAAGAUCUUCUGGUCCCAGUUAGGAUGGUGAGCAGGGUCCUCGCUCCGAGGAAGAAUGCUGAGCGGGGUCUGGAAGAAUGCAGGGUGUCCUGGGCCAGUGGAGGAUGGUGAGCAAGGUCCUGGCUCUAGGGCGAGAUGAUGAGCUGGGUCAGAAGAGACGCGGGGUCCCUACUCCGGGGAUGAAUGCUGAACAGAAUAUGGAGGGACGCAGCGUCUCCACUCCGGGAUGGGAUGCUGAGCGGGGUGCCCAUUGCGGGGACGAGAUGCUGUACCAAGACAGGAGGGACACAGGGUCCCGUCGAGGGGCGGAAAGCUGAGCAGGUUCCUAGUUCCUGCGCAGAAUGCUGAGGUGGAUCCCGGAGCAAGGUGCCGGCCCCGGGACGGAAUGCUAAGCUGAGUCUGGCAGGCCGCAGGGUCUGGUAUACCGAGCAGGAUGCUGAACGGGGUCUGCAGGAAGCAAGGUCAGAAUUCAGCAGAGAUCACGGUCGAGGUGGACUGAAGUAUCGAAGACUGGAUUGAAGAAGUAUCGAAGACGUGCAUGGGAGAACUAAGGGACCCGCAUAGGGGAGGGUUCUGUGAUGACAGACAUCCAGUGCUGCUGAGGAUGGAACCCAGGACUUCAAGCAUGCUAGGUAAGUGCUCUACUCGCUGAGCUACAUCCCCAGCCCCAUUUCACUGAAGCCUG